AAGAGCUCCUACCUCCUCUGUUCUUUUAAUCUCCUGCUGCGGGUGGCAGACAUGGGAGAGACAGGCAAGCUGCAAAGGGAAGUCGACGAAAUAAAAUUAAAGCCCUACAAUCGUGUUCGUGUCAAUGUAGAUGGGGUGCCCCCCUCGGUUUGCUCACAGAGGUGGGUGUGAGAUCCUACAGGACGGUCUGGAAGACAUCCCAUGGAAGGCACUUUAUUUUGCCCAGAAGCUGGAGGAAAAGCAGAAGAUACAUUAGUUUGCCAAGUAUGCUGCUGGAUGUUCAUUCAGCACUAGUGUUUAACAAAAGCCCGGUUUUAAAAUCAGAGGAUAUGAGUUGGGGGGGCCUUGAGGGCGCUGAACACUGACUAAGAGGAGAGAGCGCACAUUACAUGGAGACCAUGGUCCCCAUACCAGAAACAUGAGAGUAGAGAGAAGCAAAGCCAGCAUCGUGGAGCCAGUCCCUUUAUCCAGGAUCUUGGAGGGAUACAGUCUUCUGUAGAAAUUAAAUAAAGACUGAAUUCUUCAAUGGGUAUUUUGAGAAGAGAGCCACUGUAAGCUUAUACACUGUGAAUUGCAAAAUGUUACUGCCUCUGGGUGGACAGGUUUUAAAAAGACUUUUUUUUUUCCUCCUGGCAUGGCUGACAGAGGGAAGGCUGGGUUUCAAUCCCAUCUUUCCCUUCCCUUGCCCAGUGCUUCUUUAUGUGCACAACCUGCACAACUAUAUGUGGUUUGCAAACACGCAUAAGCAAAGACUAACAGCUUCUGAAACAAACUCUGAAUAAAAGAGGGAGCAUAUUAAGGCAGAUGGCAGAGGAGGUGAGCAGCAUGGGCAGAUAGAAGCAUCACAGAGACUACAAGAAGAAUGUGCCAGACCGGCUCAUAGUGGCCACACUGAUUAAGAAUUACCAUCAGCUCUUUAGGAUUUGGAAACUUGGAAACACAUUGUGUGUUCUUCCUGGUUUGUUAUAGAGUAUGUGUAUGUACUUCUUUCUCUUAAAAAUAUUUAUUUUUAAAGAAUUGACUUAUAAAAUUAUAUGUAUUUGUCAUGUAUAACACAAUAUUUUGAAGUACAGUCCUGUGUCAUAAGGAUAUGUUCUGAGAAAUCCAUCAAUUUUGUCAUUGUAUAAACAUGAUAGAGUGUAUUUACACAAACCUAGGUGGUAUAAACUACUACACACCUAGGCUACAUAAUGUAGCCUAUUGCUCCUAGGCUAUAAACCUGUAUAACAUGCUACUGUACUAAAUACUAUAGACAAUAGUCACAUACUGGUGAGUAUUUGCGUAUCAAAACAUAUCUAAAUAUAGAAAAGAUGCAGUAAAAAUAUGGUAUUACAAUCUUAUGAGACCACUAUAGUAUAUGAGGUCCAUCAUUGAUUAAAACAUAGUUAUAUGGUGCAUGACUGUAUAUAUGCAUUGUGGAAUGGUUAAAUCUAGCUAACUAACAAAUGUGUUAUAUCACAUAGUUAUUAUUUUUGAGGUGAGAAUACAAUAUUCACUCUCUUAGCAUUUUUUAAGAAUACAGUAUAUUAACUAUAGUCACCAUGCUGAAUGGUAGAUCUCUGGAACUAAUUUCUCCUAUCUAAGUGUGAUUAUGUACCCUUUGACCAACAUCUUUCUAACCCCACCCCACAAACACCCCAUAAUAAAGCCUCUUGUAACCACCAAAAAAAAAAAAAAAA
rnacentral:lncRNA from 1 species